rnacentral:rRNA from 1 species
ACCGUUAACGAACGAGACCUUAACCUGCUAAAUAGUUACGUUAACUUUGGUUGACGGCUAACUUCUUAGAGGGACUGUGGAUGUUUAAUCCACGGAAGUUUGAGGCAAUAACAGGUCUGUGAUGCCCUUAGAUGUUCUGGGCCGCACGCGCGCUACACUGAUCAAGUCAACGAGUUUACAACCUUGGCCGGAAGGUCUGGGUAAUCUUUUGAAACUUGAUCGUGCUGGGGAUAGUCCAUUGCAAUUAUUGGACUUCAACGAGGAAUUCCUAGUAAGCGUGAGUCAUCAGCUCGCGUUGAUUACGUCCCUGCCCUUUGUACACACCGCCCGUCGCUAGUACCGAUUGAAUGAUG